rnacentral:rRNA from 1 species
AUGUACCUGGCCAUCUUGCUGGGUAAUAGAGUCAUCGUUAAGAAACUGUAUAAAAUGAGUGAUUACGGUACAAGUCUUUCCUACUCCGGCCCAAAUGGACAAAAUGCAUUACAUGCUGCUGCUACCCGAGGACGAGUAUUUACUAAGAAGCUGUUAAAGUGGAACAAGGCCCUUUCAGCGCAAAAGGAUGAAACAGGGUGUAUGCCUCUUCACUUCGCCGCGGCCAAGUCGCCAAACUCAUCUUAUUCAACACAGUUUCAUGACGAUCUGCAUGAAUGGCGAAAGAGCAAUUCAACCAUCGCCAGACAAAUGCGCAAGAGGCUCUUGUCUCUAUUGAGGAUGGAUGGCUGGCCAAAAGUCUGCCUCAAGCUGCUCGAAGCAAACCCAGCCGCGUUGUAUGAGCCAGACCACCGUGGGUCAUAUCCGAUACACGUAGCUACCUCAGUGGGCGCGACCAGGAAGGUUCUCCUGUUUCUUAACAGGCACCCUGGGAGUGCCGGCCUGCGCGAUGCGCGUGGCCGGACUUUCCUGCAUGUCGCCGUCGAGAAGAUGGCUGUGGGGAUCCUGUAUCAUGCUACCAGGGAUAAGUCGCUAGAAUGGAUUCUCAACAUGCGCGACAAGGAUGGGAACACGGCAUGCACCUUGCAGUCCAAGGUGGGAGACUUCGAGUGUUCUGCCGUCUGCUUGGGAAUCUGA